GAUGAACGCUGGCGGCGUGCCUAAUACAUGCAAGUCGAGCGAAAGGACGAGAAGCUUGCUUCUCUGAUGUUAGCGGCGGACGGGUGAGAAACACGUGGAUAACCUACCUAUCAGACUGGGAAAACUUCGGGAAAGCGGCGCUUAUCGCGGAUAAUAUUCUGAUCCGCAUGGUUCAAAAGAGAAAGACGGUCUUGGUGUCACUAAUAGAUGGAUACGCGCUGCUUUAGCUAGUUGGUAAGGUAAAGGCCUAUCACGGCAACGAGGCAUAGCCGAGCUGAGAGGCUGAUCGCCCACCUUGGAACUGGGCCGCCGACCUGACUCCUGCGAUAGGCAGCAGUAGCGUAUCUUCCGCAAUAGGCGAAAGCCUUGCAGAGCGGCGCCACGUGUGUGAUAGAGGUCUUCCGUGCGUGAUACUCUCUUAUUGGUUGUAAACAGAUGUCGAAGUAACUGUACACUGCUUGACGGUACCUAAUCAGAAAGCCACGGCUAACUACGUG
rnacentral:rRNA from 1 species